rnacentral:rRNA from 1 species
UGGGGCUAAUUUCCGAUAGGUGAAGAACCCUGGAAUGAGUCUUCGCCCAAAAGGCGCUUAGAGCAUGCUUCUAGGUGUUGCCCAAGGAUGGGGCCGCGGCCGAUCAGGUUGUUGGUGAGGUAAUGGCUCACCAAGCCUUUAACCGGUACGGGCCGUGGGAGCGGUAGCCCGGAGAUGGGCACUGAGACAAGGGCCCAGGCCCUACGGGGCGCAGCAGUCGCGAAAACUUCGCAAUAAGCGAAAGCUUGACGGGGCCAUCCCGAGUGCCAUCUGCUGAGGAUGGCUUUUACCCAGUGUAGAUAGCUGGGGGAAUAAGGAGAGGGCAAGUCUGGUGUCAGCCGCCGCGGUAAUACCAGCUCUCCGAGUUGUGGGGAUGUUUAUUGGGCCUAAAGCAUCCGUAGCCGGCUGGGCAAGUCCUCUGUUAAAUCCAGCGAUUAAUCGUUGGCCUGCGGGGGAUACUGUCUGGCUAGGGGGCGGGAGAGGCCGUCGGUAUUCUCGGGGUAGGGGUGAAAUCCUAUAAUCCCGGGAGGACCACCAGUGGCGAAGGCUGUCGGCUAGAACGCGCCCGACGGUGAGGGAUGAAAGCUGGGGGAGCGAACCGGAUUAGAUACCCGGGUAGUCCCAGCUGUAAACGAUGCAGGCUAGGUGUUAGGGCGGCUACGUGCCGCUCUAGUGCCGCAGGGAAGCUGUUAAGCCUGCCGCCUGGGGAGUACGGCCGCAAGGCUGAAACUUAAAGGAAUUGGCGGGGGAGCACCACAAGGGGUGAAGCUUGCGGUUUAAUUGGAUUCAACGC